rnacentral:rRNA from 1 species
GACGAACGCUGGCGGCGUGCUUAACACAUGCAAGUCGAGCGGGAAACUUCGGUUUCCAGCGGCGGACGGGUGAGUAACACGUGGGCAACCUGCCUCACAAUGAGGGAUAGCCUUCCGAAAGGAAGAUUAAUACCUCAUAACACAAGAGAAACGCAUGUUUCUCUUGCCAAAGAAUUUCGUUGUGAGAUGGGCCCGCGGCGCAUUAGCUUGUUGGUGAGGUAACGGCUCACCAAGGCUUCGAUGCGUAGCCGACCUGAGAGGGUGAUCGGCCACAUUGGAACUGAGACACGGUCCAGACUCCUACGGGAGGCAGCAGUGGGGAAUAUUGCACAAUGGAGGAAACUCUGAUGCAGCAACGCCGCGUGAGUGAUGAAGGUCUUCGGAUUGUAAAGCUCUGUCUUCUGGGACGAUAAUGACGGUACCAGAGGAGGAAGCCACGGCUAACUACGUGCCAGCCGCCGCAGUAA